AACAAGUAAUAAAGUAGUGAGUGAGGUAUCGUCCCACGAGAAAUUUGGUUAGUAAGUACCAAACUACACAGCAGUUAUGACCGUUUAGGCUACCGAAUAUGAAUGAAGAAUAUAUUAAACUUAUUUUGGAUGCUGAAAAUAAACUUUGAAUAAAACUAUCAAUUGAAACAAUUCCAGAAUUAAGAUUUCACACCUGAAUCUUGCUAUGGAUGUUAUCUUAUUUAUUUACUAGUUUUGAGAAUCGUUUGUCUUGAUGGAAAUCAGUACUAAGGUAUCCUAAGUCCUCUCUCAAGGUACCUAGGGUGUAUUCUAAUUAACUUAAACUCGACUUUCGUGGCGAUCAGAUUAAUUAAAAUCCAUUAAGGUCUUUGACUAAUUUUAAAGUUCCACAAAGGUAUCAGCCUAUGUCUAGGUCAGAAUUCCUAGGUUCAAGAUCUUGAUUUCUAAUGUUAAUCUUUUCCUUUCAGUCCUUCAAUUAACAUCUACAAUCAUGGCUAAGUGGGUACCAACACAUAGCA
rnacentral:misc_RNA from 1 species